rnacentral:tRNA from 1 species
AGGAUUAUAGUUUAAAUAUAAAACAUUUGAUUUGCAUUCAAAAAAUAUUAUUAUUAUAAUAAUUUAUCUUA